rnacentral:rRNA from 1 species
CAGUCGCCGCGGGAAUACGUAGGGUGCAAGCGUUAAUCGGAAUUACUGGGCGUAAAGCGUGCGCAGGCGGUUUGUUAAGACAGAUGUGAAAUCCCCGGGCUCAACCUGGGAACUGCAUUUGUGACUGGCAAGCUAGAGUGUGGCAGAGGGGGGUGGAAUUCCGCGUGUAGCAGUGAAAUGCGUAGAGAUCGGGAGGAACAUCAGUGGCGAAGGCGGCCAUCUGGGACAACACUGACGCUGAGGCACGAAAGCGUGGGGAGCAAACAGGAUUAGAUACCCCCGUAGUCCCUGUAUCUUAUAC